UACAGAGGUCUCAAGCGUUGUUCGGAUUCAUUGGGCGUAAAGGGCGCGUAGGUGGCGCCAUAAGUCGGGUGUGAAAUCUCGGGGCUUAACUCCGAAACUGCAUUCGAUACUGUGGUGCUCGAGGACUGGAGAGGAGACUGGAAUUCAUGGUGUAGCAGUGAAAUGCGUAGAGAUCGUGAGGAAGACCAGUGGCGAAGGCGGGUCUCUGGACAGUUCCUGACGCUGAGGCACGAAGGCCAGGGGAGCAAACGGG
rnacentral:rRNA from 1 species